GGGGAAUUUUCCGCAAUGGGCGAAAGCCUGACGGAGCAAUACCGCGUGAGGGAGGAAGGCUCUUGGGUCGUAAACCUCUUUUAUCAGGGAAGAACACAAUGACGGUACCUGAUGAAUCAGCAUCGGCUAACUCCGUGCCAGCAGCCGCGGUAAUACGGAGGAUGCAAGCGUUAUCCGGAAUUAUUGGGCGUAAAGCGUCCGCAGGUGGUUUUGAAAGUUUGCUGUCAAAGCGCGAGGCUCAACUUCGUAUCGGCGGUGAAAACUUCAAGACUAGAGCUAGGUAGGGGUCACGGGAAUUCCCAGUGUAGCGGUGAAAUGCGUAGAUAUUGGGAAGAACACCAGCGGCGAAAGCGCGUGACUGGGCCUGAGCUGACACUCAUGGACGAAAGCUAGGGGAGCGAAAGGGAUUAGAUACCCCUGUAGUCCUAGCCGUAAACGAUGACAACUAGGUGUUGCCCGUAUCGACCCGGGCAGUGCCGUAGCCAACGCGUUAAGUUGUCCGCCUGGGGAGUACGCACGCAAGUGUGAAACUCAAAGGAAUUGACGGGGGCCCGCACAAGCGGUGGAGUAUGUGGUUUAAUUCGAUGCAACGCGAAGAACCUUACCAAGGCUUGACAUGUCGCGAAUCUCUGUGAAAGUAGAGAGUGCCUUCGGGAGCGCGAACACAGGUGGUGCAUGGCUGCCGUCAGCUCGUGUCGUGAGAUGUUGGGUUAAGUCCCGCAACGAGCGCAACCCUCGUUUCUAGUUGCCAUCAUUGAGUUGGGCACUUUAGAGAGACUGCCGGUGACAAACCGGAGGAAGGUGGGGAUGACGUCAAGUCAGCAUGCCCCUUACGCCUUGGGCUACACACGUACUACAAUGCUACGGACAAAGAGCCGCAAGUUCGCGAGGACAAGCAAAUCUCAUAAACCGUGGCUCAGUUCAGAUUGCAGGCUGCAACUCGCCUGCAUGAAGGCGGAAUCGCUAGUAAUCGCAGGUCAGCAUACUGCGGUGAAUACGUUCCCGGGCCUUGUACACACCGCCCGUCACACCAUGGGAGUUGGCCACGCCCGAAGUCGUUACUCCAACCGUUCGCGGAGGAGGAUGCCGAAGGCAGGGCUGAUGACUGGGGUGAAGUCGUAACAAGGUAGCCGUACCGGAAGGUGUGGCUGGAUCACCUCCU
rnacentral:rRNA from 1 species